CGAAUCUUACUAUCUCAGAAAAUACUCUUCAAUGAAUAAUCGCGGGAAUUUUUUUUAUUCUUGAAAUAAAAGAAAAAAAGUAUCAACAGAAGAAGAAAAGAUGGGUAGAAAGUCAGCAAAAGGCAAGGAAAAGAAAAUGAAGAGAAAAGAGGAGAGCGCCAAGAUGGCAAUCAGUUUAGCAAAGGUAGAAGCUGCUAACAAGGUAAGUUUAUACAAAAAUCUU